rnacentral:rRNA from 1 species
UACGUAGGGGGGCUAGCGUUGUCCGGAAUCAUUGGGCGUAAAGAGCGCGUAGGCGGCCAGAUAAGUCCGGUGUAAAAGUCACAGGCUCAACCUGUGAAUGCCGCUGGAAACUGUCUGGCUUGAGUCCGGGAGGGGCGAGUGGAAUUCCUGGUGUAGCGGUGAAAAUGCGCAGAUAUCAGGAGGAACACCAAUGGCGAAGGCAG